rnacentral:rRNA from 1 species
GACGAACGCUGGCGGCGUGCCUAAUACAUGCCAGUUGAGCGCUGAAGGUUGGUACUUGUACCAACUGGAUGAGCAGCGAACGGGUGAGUAACGCGUGGGGAAUCUGCCUUUGAGCGGGGGACAACAUUUGGAAACGAAUGCUAAUACCGCAUAAAAACUUUAAACACAAGUUUUAAGUUUGAAAGAUGCAAUUGCAUCACUCAAAGAUGAUCCCGCGUUGUAUUAGCUAGUUGGUGAGGUAAAGGCUCACCAAGGCGAUGAUACAUAGCCGACCUGAGAGGGUGAUCGGCCACAUUGGGACUGAGACACGGCUCAAACUCCUACGGGAGGCAGCAGUAGGGAAUCUUCGGCAAUGGACGAAAGUCUGACCGAGCAACGCCGCGUGAGUGAAGAAGGUUUUCGGAUCGUAAAACUCUGUUGGUAGAGAAGAACGUUGGUGAGAGUGGAAAGCUCAUCAAGUGACGGUAACUACCCAGAAAGGGACGGCUAACUACGUG